rnacentral:rRNA from 1 species
GAUGAACGCUGGCGGCGUGCCUAAUACAUGCAAGUCGAGCGAACAGACGAGGAGCUUGCUCCUCUGACGUUAGCGGCGGACGGGUGAGUAACACGUGGAUAACCUACCUAUAAGACUUAGAUAACGUCGGGAAACCGGAGCUAAUACCGCAUCUUAUAGCCGACCGCAGGGGUCUGGAGAGAAAGACGGUGUUGCUGUCUCUGAUAGCUGGAUCCGCGCCGCAUUAGCUAGUUGGUAAGGUAACGGCUUACCAAGGCAACGAUGCGUAGCCGACCUGAGAGGGUGGUAGGCCACACUGGAGCUGAGACACGGUCCAGACUACUACGGGAGGCAGCAGUAGGGAAUCGUCGGCAACGGGCGAAAGCCUGGCGGAGCGACGGCGCGUGUGUGAUGAAGGUCUUCGGAUCGUAAAAACCGGUUAUUAGGGGAGAACAACUGUGUAAGUAGAUAUGCACGUAUUGAAGGUUACUAAUAAGAAAGCCACGGCUAAACUAGUGC